GAUGUCGGUGGCGAACUGGCGCAGGAGGUCGUCGGCCUCCUGCAGGUAGACGUUGUAGAGCGGCAGGCCGAUCCGGAUCGGCCCGAUCACC
rnacentral:tRNA from 1 species